rnacentral:lncRNA from 1 species
UAUAAUCAAACUAAGUACUAGUAAUAAUAAUAGUAGUAAUAAUAAAAAAUAAUAAUUUAGUAAUAAUAUAUUUAUUGUUAUUAAUAAAUAAUUUUUUUAUUAAUAUUAUAAUAAAAAUUAAUUAUUAUUAAAUAUUGAAGAGAGAGAGUGUGUGUGUGUGUGUGGGUUAGGGAUGUCAAUGGGUAUGAAUACUCGAAAUUUUAUCCUAACCCGAACCCGAAUGAAACAGAUAUAUCCGAUACUAAAUAGAUAUAGAUUCGGAUAUGGAUAUCAAAAAUAGAAACCCGAUAGAUAUGAAUUCGGAUAUGGAUUUUGACUGUACCCGACCCGAUCCCGAACCCGACCCGAACCCGACCUGAACCCGAAUUUAUUUUAUAUUAUAUUAUAUUAUAUUAUAUUAUAUUAUAUUUUAUAUAUAUAUAUAUAUAUAAAUUUGAUGUCAUAUUUGAAUUUGUAUUUUAAAAAUUUAGAUUUAAUAUAAUAAAUUUUGAAAUAUUGAAAAAAGAAAUAAUUGUUUUGGGUUCAAAUUUUCGGGUUCAGGUUUGGGUUUGGGUUUUGGAUUUUUGGUCGGGUUCGGGUUUGGAUAUGGAUUUUUAAAAUCCGUUGGGUUCGGAUUCGGGUUUGGGUUUCGAGUUUGGAGUUGGGUUCGGGUUUGGGUUUUUGAAAAUCCGCCCCGAAUCUGAUCCGUUGACAUCUCUAGUGUGGGUGGGGAGAGAGAGAGAGAGAGUGUGUGUGUGUGUGUGUGUAUGUGCAUGUGUGUGUUGGUGGGGAGAGAGGAGAGAGGGUGCUGCUGCUAGGGAGGAGUCUCAGAGAGAGAAAGAGAGAGAUAGAGGUGUAGGGUUGGGGAGGAGAGAGAAAGAGAAUGACAAGGGAUCUCGGGAAAUGAGAGACGAAAGAGAAAAAGAUAAUCUCCACCCACUUAAUAUAUUAAUAUAUAUUAAGGGCGUGUUUGGUUUACUUCUUUUUUACCAUAGAAUCGAAAUGGGAAUGAGUGAAUCCGUUUGUAGGUGUUUGGUACGUGGGAGUCCCAUUCCGAUUUUGAUUCCAGAGUAGAAUGGGAAUCGCUCAAUCACCCCUUUUUUCAAUCCGGCUUAGAAGGCCGGAUUGGAAGUUGAAUCCGAACGGAAUGGAUAUUUAUUCGGAUUAAAUUUAUUUUUUUAAUUUUUUUAAUUAAAAUAUGAGUUAAAAUUUAAAAAUUAAAUAUAUAAUUUUAAAUUUUAAUUUGAACUUAAAUUAAAAAUUAAAAUUUAAUCAAGUAUUUCGAAUCUAACUUAUGAAUUUGAAUUUAAAUUAAAUUUUAAUUUAUAUAAAGUUCAUUCAAAUUUUAUUUCAAACUUAAAUUAAAUUUGUGAAUUCAAAUUAAAAUUUAAAUUAUAAUUUU